rnacentral:rRNA from 1 species
UACGAAGGGGGCAGGCGUUAUUCGGAAUUAUUGGGCGUAAAGCGUGCGUAGGCUGCCUAGCGUGUUGUUAGUGAAAUCCUAUGGCUCAACCAUAGAACUGCUAACAAAACUGUUAGGCUUGAGUGUCAGAGGGGGCAGAAGAAUUCCUGAUGUAGGGGUGGAAUCCGUAGAUAUCAGGAGGAAGACCAAAGGCGUAAGCAUCUGUCUGGCUGAAUACUGACGCUGAGGUACGAAAGCGUGGGGAGCAAACAGG